rnacentral:piRNA from 1 species
UGGAAAUCCGCUUGGGCACAACCCAUCUAAGA